CAGCGCUCAGAGGAGUACGCUACUGUUAAGUCCCGUUAGUUGUAAAUAAACGCGUCACUUAUGGUAGCUACAUAUCGUGUGAUUCUCCCAGAGGGACAAGUCUAUAAAGCUGCAAAAAAGAUCUGUCAUGUGAUCAUAAGAUCGUUAAUCGAUAAAGUCGUCAAAGGGUCGUCAAAAAGCUCAAGAGAUCUGCGCAUCUGCAAUCUGAACGCAAAAGAACUAAACUAAGAAACAGGUCUUAAUUCCAUUGAAACGAUAAAAAAGAUCGUCAUGCGCCAGUUUGACAAGCCAAGUGGGCGGUAGAAACUGGGAUGUUCAUCGAGAAUGUGAAGGAAAUGCUUGAUGUUGGCGGGGUAUGCGUGCUGGUCGAUCUGCCGACAUUUGCUGACCUACGCAAGACCGAGACAAGCCGCAAAACCGAAACAAGCCGCAAGAAUGAGACAAACCGCAAGAUCGAGACAAGCCGCAAGACCGAGACAAGCCGCAAGAACAAGACCUAGCUGCAAGAUCAAGACAAGCCGCAAGACCAAGACAAGCCACAAGACCAAGACCAAGCCGCAAGACCAAGACAAGCCGCAAUAC